rnacentral:misc_RNA from 1 species
GCACGAUUCAGCCUGAGAAUAACCAGGGUAGGAACCCAACCUGUCGCUUCUUGGUUCCAGACAUAUGAAUUACGGUCAUGAGAAACAGUGACUAUUUUGUUGGAUCUGUAACUCCAAUCGAUACCAGAAACAAUUUGGUCAUGCUUUUGAAGAACAUGGACCUUCUCCCACUUGUCUUCUGAUAGUUUAUAAAUAUGUACUUCACUGUUGUUAGGACAGAAUGCAAUCAUGGACAGGUCGGGACUCCAAGCAUGGCAAGAAAUGCACUGAGCAAACUUGUGUACUGAAGUUGCUGCCAUUGAUUUGCCUGUAAAACGAGAUCUAGA